rnacentral:misc_RNA from 1 species
AAAGUUUGAAAAUGUUAAGAAUGACUCUAAACAUUACCUCUUUCCGGAACAGCUCCCCGGACACCUAGAUUGAGCUGAAAACUCGAUAUUGAGUGCCUACGAGCUAUCACCAAUCCGAUUGUCAUAUAAUUAUAUUUAACUUAUGAGCAUCGAAAAAGAUAAAAAAUCUCACUAAACAAUCUAAAUCAUUUGUUGGAGUCCAAUUGGAGAGAGGUCAAUCUCGUCUCGAAGGUUUAGUUGUGCUGAGUUCAUCGAUCG